AGCCCAGAGGGAAGGAGCCCAGAGGAAACACUGCACUUUGGAGUCCAGAGGAAAGAUGAGUAAUCAGAAAAUCAGAAUGUUGAAAGUGACAUAUUCCAACUGAUGACAAAAGCCUGCAGGAUCAGAAACUUUUGGUCCCAUGUGCAAUAUGCAGUGUUCAUGGCUUCCUACCUGGAGAAAGUUAAGUUUUAUUGUGUUCAAGGAGGUUGAGAGUAUAUAUUUGAUGUCCCAAGAUUGAGGAAGUGGUCCAGCAGGAAGACUGCAUUGAGUUACCAACUUGGGUGAAAAAGAUCAAGGUGAAGAUUUUAUUCCACAAAGUAUAAGGGGCCAGUAGGUCUUUACAGAAUAGAUAGGCUCAGGCCCAAGUAUGGUGGAUUAAGACUGACCUGAGAGAACACGAUAUCAGCACAUCCAUUGAUGGGAAGGAAGGACGUUGACCCAAUAGGCCAUUGGCUUUGUGGAACAACAGUCUUGAAAACCCUUGGAGAAGAUAGGUGCAGCCAACUCUGGAGGACUGCCUGAAAGGGAGCAGAGCCUGUAGAGGAGGCAUGGAGCCUCUGGAUGAAGGGCCGGUGCAACAUUCAGAGUUCAGUAUUGAUCGUGUUUGUGAUUUAAACACUCAGAGACCAAGGAAUUGACCACUUUGAUGUGGAUUGAUGGUUUCCUGAUGCUUUAUGACAGGUGUGGCCCAGGGACCUCUCCCCCAAGCCUGGGAGAAUCAUCCUCUGCUGUUAAACAGCUCAAUCAUUUCUCAUCCCUGGCAUCCUCACUGGUCCAUUGGCUCCUCCCUUCCUCCCCUCUUACCUACAAGUGCUGACCCUUCCUGGGCUGCUGCCAAACAUGACCCUGGAUACUGUGAGUCUCAGGCUGCUGGGCUACCAGGAUCAGAAUCAAGAAGGGAAAAGGAUCAAAAUUUAUAGAGUAUCUUUUAGAGUACUAGCAUGGUCAUUUCAUUACCAACUUUGCAAAAUAGGUAUCAUUGAUCCCAUUUUAUAGACGAAUAAGUUGAGUCUGAUGGAUAACUUGCUAUGUGAGGGACCCAAGCCUGCUAAUUCUACACUUUUGCACACUCUCACUUUAUUGCCUACAGAAGAGCUCAGAAGGAGAGGGAGGGAGAGGGGGACGGGAAGUAGAACUGUCCCUGGGGUAGAAAUAAAUUGGAGUGCUGGACAUGUGCAUUAGGAGCCUACUAGGCUGUAUUGCAGAUGACUCAGUAUGCAAUGGGCAGGAAGGAGGGGUGAAGAGAGGAGUAGGCAGUUUUCUCCAAAGCUGCUUUACAACAACAUCCCUGAGUGUGAACAUAAGUGAGUCUACAUGUCUAUCUCUGCCUCUUCUACACAUACCUUUGCAGGUUGCUGUGUGGAGUUUUUUGGUGCCUUCUUUUCUAAUUUAACUUGAUUUCCUUGAGGAUGGCAGAGCUGGACAUGUUCAGGAAACCUCAGAAAAAGAGCUGUAUGUCACUAAGUCAGGAAGAGGGCCCAGAGGUCAGGGUUUCUCAUCUGGGGCCAUCAAUACCGGCCUCCUUCUAGCUCUGUCAGACACUUGGCCCCUUCUGGGUACUCUGGCAGAGUUUGGUACCAUUCUCUCACACUGAAGAGAGACCCUCAUAGGUAGAGGCAUUGCAAGCUGCAGGCUGUGGCUCACAUUGCAAUGUAGCUGUAUCAGCCAUGAUUUUUAGUUACAGGCAUCAGCCAACUCUGGCUGACUGAAGCCGAAGAGAGUUUGAUGCAAAGAACACUGGGUGGCUGGAGAAUCAGUAGGAAUGCUGACAGUAAGGCUGGAGAAUAAGCAGCCUGGAGCAGCACCGAGAAUCACAUGGUGGAAGGAGUCUGGAGAAACUUCUACUGCUUCAGCCAUUGAAUGUUGGGCACUAUCAUUGGCAUCACAGUCACCUCUGUGCACAAACUUGAACCUGCAGUAGGGAGAGAGAGAACUCCACCCUUCCUGUGUCUAGCUCCAGAGUCAAAACCCAGGGUGGCACAUGGUGGAUGGAUCCUGUGUACAGCCUGUGCCUGGCUGCAAAGGCUGCUGGGAAAGCCAGUUGCUGCAUUUUUGGCAUCUACAGUGGGAAGCAGCCACUGAAGACAAUGAAGACUCAUGAAGUGGGAACUUCUCAAUGAAAAAGGAGUUCAAAUAUUGGGUGGCCAAAUAAAAUGAUAAAUAUUCACUAUCAUUGCCUUAGUUGAGAAUCGAGAAGCUGGGGGCAGUGUGAGGGUACUGAUGGCAACAUUCUCUAACAGGUAUUGAGUGAUUAUUCUCUGGGCUAACUAUUCUAAAUGCAGUAUCUCAUUUAAUCCUUCCGACAAAUCUCCCAGGCAAUUACUAAUAUUGUACCUAUUUUCCAAAGGAGACAACUGGAUUGUAGACAUGACUGUGGCACAUACCUAGUAGGUGUCUGAGCUGAGGUUCUGGCGUAGGCAGUCUGUCUUCUGAGACUGUGCUCACAUUUUCAUGAUUGAGGGCUGGUGAGGAACUCUAGGGGUAUUUCUUUAAGUUAAAGCAUUAAAACCAGCUGUCCCUAGUGCUCAUCAUUCCAAUUAUGCCACAUUAACUCCAGUCUUUUAAAAAUCCCGUCUCAAGGUACUUCUAGGAGUCUCCAAGAUGGCUUGUGUGAACACGUGUCAGACCAGGUUAUUGGAGGCCACCGUGCUGUCACCUUCCUCUGCCAAGUCCAGGCCCACUGUGGGGACCGCUGUCCAGGCUUAGAAACUCCGGUAUGAACACUGGUGGGCGGGCACUCUCCCGUAGCUGCCCUUGGCCACAAUGGAGAUCUCCCCUGGCCCUCUCCCAGACUGAGUCACCUGUACUACACAGUUUGCCCUGUUUGACACAACUGCCAGCCAAACCUGAGAUCCUCCUGGGUCACUGGCCAUGCCCAGGAGAGGCCUCGAGGAGCCAAUCUUUGCAGCCCAGCCACAGAUGCUCUUGGCCAUCAAGGAGCUUUACUGAGCCCUGUCAGGGGACAGGAGGAUUCACUUCCCUCAGCUCCCCUCUGUGAGACACCUAUAGUAAGGCUACAGAUUUCAAAGGGACGCCAAAUUUGGUUGUUUCCACCAGCGAAACCCAUUUUUGCCCUAGGGCCCACAUAGAUCAUCAGCAUAGUGAUGUCAGCAGCACCCUUCAGGCCCAGGGGCAGAAAACUGCUGGUUGUGACAUCCUUCCUCUUCUCCUCCCCUUUAAAGACCCUGCCUUCCUUUUUCAUAAUUGGCUCAAAUCACUCUCCUCCCACUCUGAUCUCACAUUCAUUAAUUCAUCUGGUCAACAUCAAAUAUUCAUUAUGCACCAAUUAUCUGUAAAACGGGGAUAGGAAUAAUGAUAUUUCAUUGUCUUGGUUUCGGUCUUCGUGCAAGCAGACUUGAGACAAGGGCUUGGUUGCAGGCUUUUUAUUCGGGAGGUGAUCCCAGGAAGCAGGAGUGAGGGAGCAGGAAGAUUGAGCAGGGAAGGAGGAAAACAGUAACCUAAGGGUGUGCUAUUGGUUACUGCUGCUGGCAGUGGGAGCCCAAGUGCAUUGGCACAUCUGAGAAGCACACAGAAGCAUCCCAGGAUUGUCCUCCUGAAGGAAGGGAGGCAAGAGCAUUUAUCCAUAGCUCCUAGCCCCCUUGGUAGAUAGUUGCCUUGGGACAGGGAGUGAGAGGUUGGGGGUUACCUGCCCUGACCUUUAGAGGGCUGAGCUGAUUUCUGCAGCUUUAGCAAGUCUUUAAGGCAGAGAGGAGCAAGCCAUGGGCACAUGCCUAAGUGGCACUGUCCAAGGAAGAAGCUCCUCCUUGCAGUUGGACUGAAGUCAAGAGUGGGAUGAGGGGCCGUGAUACAGCACGGAAAACAUACACUACACUUUCUCAUGAAGUAGUUACCAUUAACUGAGUUAAUUUAUGUAAAACACCUAGAACAAUACCUGCCCCCAAUAAGGCUAUAUGUGUGUGUUUGCUGCUAUUAUUUGUGUGACUAUUACAUGUGCCUGGUGCUUCUCCAGGCUCUGUAGGUAACACUCUCAUGAGACUUACUUUCAGCUCACAAAACAUGCCUUGUUUAUGUGUCAAAGCUCUGAUUCUUGAUACUGUCCAAGUUCUUUUGCCAGGAGAUUCUCAGCCCCCAUGUUUGGGGAUGGCCAGGGGACAUGGCCCCACUUGACUGCCUGCCUUGCCAGUAUCUCUGAUCCAUUUUGGAGGCCUGCCCUGCCAUGCUCUGCUUCCCAGGAUCCUGAACAAGGAUUUGAGAACUAAGGUUUGAAUUCUGCAUAUGAAACAGUCAAACUCAAGUUGUCCAUCUGCUGGGAAAAGAAAAUAGCUUCAGAGCAAAGUCACUUGCCUUUUAAUAAUUGAUGGAUAAAAGAUUGCAGCAUGUGCAAAAACACACUUUCCAGAUCUGCCACUAAGAACGGUUCGGGCAGAAGAAACUGCUCUUUCCAUUGCCCCAGAGGCCAGGCCUGCCCUCAGCUAAUCUGGUGACCUAAUCCUUUCACAUGGGGGAGGACCAGAGCAUUUGCAUACAAGCAAUGAAUGCAUCUUUCCACCAGAGGCUUCCAGAGGCAAGUCCAAUCUAGUUAGUGCUUAUCUGUCCAAGCUGGCUGACCUUCUCCCAGUGCACAGUCCAGUCCCAAGUCCUCCCACCCCUGCCUUGUUCCCAGAACGAGUCUUGACUAUUCUAGCCUCAUACCUCGUCCCUAAGUUGCAACACUUGAUAUGGCUCCUUGAGGACUGCCUUGGCCAUCUCCUUGUUGCCGCUCCCACUGACUGCUUGGGUUUCAGCAGUUCACGGCUUCACGAGGCAACCCCUCCCUCUUGGUUCUAUGAUAACAUAACCGGUCACAGGCCUUUUGCCCAGCCCAGGCACUGAGGGACUGGGACCUGCCCUGGCCCCAUCUUGGCUUUCACAAAUGGGAGCUGGUGAGGUCUCACCCAGGUGAAACCCGGAAUUCACUUUCCUUUCAAAUGUUAAUAUGUUGCUGUGAAAACAUGCCUUUAUCAGUCCAGAAUCCUGUGUCUGUAAUCUCAAUAUCUAAAAGCUCUGAAAGCCAAAAGUUGGUUAUAAUCUGCAUGGUAGCAAAAUCUAACAGGGUUAAUUUCAUUUUCCAGAAUUAUCUGACCUGCACUAAGUGGAGGCUAUCUAUUGCCUUUAUUGAUCUCAUUUGGUGUGAAUACGCAUACAUGCUGCUGGAGAAAUAUUAAUGUCAUUGAUUACGAGGUGUCCCAGAGCUCACUGGGGUGUUGAUGUAUGAAGUGGUAUGUGCACCAAACUGCCUUUCUAAAAUACAUUCUGAAUUCUGAAACAUACCUGGCCCCAAGAUUUUGGAUGAGGAAUUUAGGCCUGUAUUAAAAUUAACCCAGGGAGGGUUAGGGCCUGGGAGAAGUGACCAUGAGUGGCCAUUGUUAUCUAAAGCUAAUGCAGGGAGCCAGGGGCAGCAGUGGCCUGAGUUAAAUAUCACUGGAUCCUUUAGUAUAAUUACAGAGUCAGGACUUAAGGAGAGUCAUUGACAUCCCUUUCAUCAAAAAGAAAAGAAAGAAUUGCUCCCUGUAAUCCAUACCCAUUAAUUCAGCAUCUCCCCUAGAUAGCUGAAACCCCUUCAGAAAGACUGGAAUAUUUUCUAGAUAAUAAAUCUGGGUCUUUAUCUUUCCCUUUUCUUCUUUCCCCUCUUCCCUUUGCCCCAUCCCUGAACUUCCCCCUCUUCUUGUGUUUUUGUCCAUAAAAGAGCAGCUUCUGUCAUUCAUGUGACAAUGAGCCUCCUUAGGUAAUUAAAGGGGAGUCUGCAGCCUGAACUACAAGUGAGAGGUCAUCUUUUUCAGCUUAUAGUCCUACCUCUACUGGGAGUGUGAUUCUGGGGACAAGAAGGAAGAAACGGUGCCAAAGCGCAUGGAUGGCCAAUUGUGCGCCUGGCUCUUCCAUGUGGAGUAGGCAGUGGGGCUGCUUGGAGCACACUUAGUGUUUGCCCUCCAGAUUUUUCCAGUCUCCUCAUAGAUGACCCAUGCCUGAUCUAGAAUAGGGAGGCAGGGUUUUAGAUUUAACUAGAAGUCUUCAUUUGUAUUCUUCCCAGAAGCAGACCCUGAGAUGAGGGUUCUGGGAAAUAAGGAGAACAGCAGUUGGGAAGAGGAGAACAAAGCCAGGGGAUGACUAGAGCUUAAUCCUUUGGGGAAACUCUGGGUAACAGCACAGAACACACCUCAGAGUUAUCUUCCUAAGGUGCCAGAUGAGGGAGUUGAGGUAUUUAUACACCCUCUCCUGAGACUCAUGGGUUGAGGGCUGCUGGAGGCUGCGAUGACAAUGCCCUGACACAUGGGCCUGCUUCCUGGGGGCAAAAGCCUCAGGCACAGACAUACAUACACUGGGGUUUGAAGUUGAUUGUUACAUACUGUAAUAGUAACAUCCAAGCAAUACUAGCAGGGCACUGACAGCAUCUAAUACAGUUUUUUUUUUUUUCACUAAAAUGCAAAGGAAUGUUUGCAUUUCUUUAUCAGAAGAAGGAAAAGAAUGCCAGUCUUCCCAUUUUGAUGGUUGUGCCCACAAGAACCAGCAGAGCCUGGAAGGACAAUAUGCUUGGUAGUGGGAUCAUUUGGGGCUAGUGAGGGGGCAGGGUCUCGGGAAAAAGGGCACGGUGCCUGGUGAAGGGAGUCAUUCUGGGGGUGCUGCAGUGAUGAUGCUAGUGGCAGCUGUGCCCUUGGCAAUGGGAGUGGGGGUCUGCUACUGCAGUGAACCCUGAAAGCAGUAGGGAGGUGCUUCUUUAUAUCCCUUAGAGACUUCAGCAAAAAAUAUCCUUGAAUAAGGCUAGGGUAGGCAAGGGAAAAAUGGCAGGCACAGCAGUGGACUCAGCUUGAUUGUGAAGCCCUUUCUUAGGCUCUGUAUGGGGCUGGAAAUACCACAUGUGUCCUGUUUGGUGGGGAGGGGUCCUGUUGGGUGGAUAAGUGAUGCUCAGAGCAUUUCUAGGGCAGGAGUUGUCAAACUUUUUCCUGCUAAAUAUUAUAGGCUUUAGGGGUACUACUGUCUCUGUUGUAACUACUCAGCUUCCCUAUUGUAUAUCAAGAAAUGGUCACAGACAAUAUGUAAGGAAUGCGUAUGGCUGUGUUCCAUCACAACUUUAUUUAUGGAUGCUGAAAUCAGAAUUUUAUAUAAUUUUCAUGUGUCACAAAUUUUUUUUUCUGAUUUUGUCCAUUCAUUAAAAAAUGCAAAACCUAUUUUUACCUUGUGAGCCACACUGAAACAGGCUGUAGGCUGAAUUGGGCCCGUGAACUGUAUUUGCAGACCCUUGUUCUAGGGCUUCUCUCUGACUUGGGCUCCAGGGUUAAGGGCAGAUUUCCAACCGAUUCUUGACAGCGUAGGAGGGGCAAACCUCCUCCUCACUCCAGUGAGAUAAGUGACUCAUCCAAUAAUGGCAAAGACUCAAAAGCAAGGAGAUAGAACCUCAUGUAUGCGUGGACAUUUAACUGGCUCCGGUGAAGGCUUGAAGCCCUAUUUGCUAAGCUUCUGCUCAUUUGCUGCUCCAGAAAGUGACAGCCUGCAUGACCAGUCCACAGCCUGUUACUUUGGGGAUUUUACAGGGUUCAUAGAGUAAAGAGGAGACUUUGGGUAAAUACAGAUCAAAUAUUUGGGUGACACUGGUAGAGUGAAAAGGUAGACUUUUAAGCCACAUCGCCUUGCACGCAGCUUCCAGCUCUGCCAUUUACAGCCUAGUAAUCUGAAUCAAGACACUUAAUUACUCUGGGUCUCAGUUUCCUCAUCCAUAAAAUGAGGAGCAAUAAUAACCCCCCUUUUAGGCUUAUUAUGAGGAUAAAGUAAGACAAUACGUGAAAUGACCUUGGAUCAAGCUCAGCUUGGCAUCUCAUCUUUACUUAAUGGAUGGUUUUAAAAUUAUUUUUAAUGCCAACUUCACAAAGUUGUGAUAGAAAUUAAAUGAGAUAAAUGUGUAAAGGGCUCAGGGACAUAGUAUGUGUUAAGAAAAUUAUUGCUACUAUUAAAAAUAUGAUGGAGAAAAAAAGGUUAGGUAUUUCUCCAUCUUCUCUUUGGGAUGAUGGCUCUCAAGAGGUGGGAAGAGGAGGACAAUGGCACCUGCAUAAUUUUGAUUGCAGGAUAUUUGUAUUCUUUCCCUUUCUGAAGUUCCUGAAUAGCAAAUGUUUUUGACAGCAAUUGGGUCUGGAUGCCACGUUUUGAAGCCCAACUAACAAACAAGAGAUUAUGAGACUGCAGUUAUCUUUUACCAGCUGCGUGGAAAAAUCCUGUCAUUUGGCAUCACACAACUAUGAAUUCUUUUAUCUCUUUCUCCCUUCUUAUGUGCUCCUGGAGCAUAUGUAAGCAAGCUCUGACAUUGAUAACACAUUCUUAUUAACCAUUAUCUGAAAGAUGGGAUGCCAACUUAGGAGUUUUGCAUUGCAUAUCAGAUGGAAAUUUCCAUUGGGGAAUGGAAUGUUAUCCACUCCUGGCCAAUGACAUCCCAAGGCUGAAGUUACCUUCUACAUACACCAUAGUCUGAGGUCAUGAAUUGGCUAGAUUUCUGCCCAAAUCUUUGCCUACUCCUUCAGAAGGAAAUGGAAUAUGAGGCAACUAUGGGCACUUAGAGGGAACAGAAAGUUGAUUUUCUGUCAUAUAAACGUUAGCUUCUUAGGCAGUGUAGAUGGAGCAGGUGACUGGAGCCAGAGGGAUGGGGUUGUGCUUGUAGAAAGGCCAAAUGAACAGGCUGAGUGGAGACCCUGUGGGGGCCCCUGAGAUGCACCCUUUAAUAUUCAUCCCACUCCAUGUGGUCAGUCUAAGCACAUCAUGUAAUUCCCAUUUUCCUUGACAGAAAUUGGUUAAGUAAAGGGCAUGUUAUCCACUCCUGGCCAAUGAGAUGAGGAAAAGCCUACAGUACGUGUGUGUGUGUUGGUUGGGGGGCAGUCUGGGGAAAGUUUAUCUUCUGUGAAGAAGGAACUCAGAGAGAGAGUGCCUUUUCGCCCUGUGGACUUUGCCAUGAGCGCCUGGUGCUAAGGUGUCAUCCUGCUAUCAUCCCUCUGAGAGACCAGCAUCAAGUAUUCCUGAAAGGCAAGAGGGAUGGUUCCUGGAUCCCUAAGGACAGCAUUGCCUGGCAGCUGAUCUCUACUUGCCUUCAAAUUAUAAUAUCUCUGUGCUUGCUCAUUGUUGAAGUCAGUUUGAGUUGGAACUCUGUUCCUUGUAACCAGAAGGAUCCUAUCUGGGGGCCACAUUUUUGACAUUGGAAUAUCACCAAGGUGAGAAAUAAGGGAAGGGUGUGCACUAGGCAUUUAGAAGAGGGGAGCGGCUGGGCACUUUUAAUGGGUUAGUGUGAAACAUACCUUGUACUCUAUCUGGAGCAUCCUAUAUUAAUUAACUAACUUAUUAAUGAGCCUGUAUAAGGCACCUACUACAUGGUCAGCAUAGGGACAGGUCUUUCUGAGAAUAAAAGAGUCAUAUAAAACAUCAUUCUAGUUGUCAAGCAUCAUAAAAUUUAGUUGGUGGAGACAAGACUAGAAAUAAAACAAAAUAAGUGGUUUAGAGAAGGGCGUGAUGAGUGAGUGCUAGAGUAGGUAAAAGCUUCGUGGGAGAUGGAGAAAGCUAAGCUGGGCCUUAAUCAGCAGAAAGAAUAAAGGUGAGGACAUAGAGACGUUAAGUCACAUGCUCCAACACAGCCAGAAAGUGGCAGAGCUGGGGUUCAAACCCAGUAUGUCUGACUCCUUCCAACCCUGGGCAUGUAACUACUAUGCUGGAGCAUACUUAUGCUCCCAAUGUGUAUUUGUAAGCCUGGAAUGCUCAUAUAUUAAUUUAUAAUGAGAAAUAGAACUGGAAAACAUUAUGAAUUCAAAAUCUGUGAAGCCAAGUUAUAUUCAGAAGGUUCCCAAGGCAGCUUGAAGCUGAUUAACAGACAGGAUAUCCCUGACACCAGGAUGGAGGCAUGUGUCUUGAAGGGCUAGUCCUUCUCUUCCUGGCUAGGUACUGGUAAGAGAAUGGCCAGUUUUGGAGUCUUGGGGCUCCCAUUUAAAUGCUCCAGGCUGUUCCUAAAGUCCUUCUUCAGUCAUGGUGUAAGUCAACUGGUCAGGCCUCUAGGUGUUCAUUAUGUUCACAUUUAAUUCAGUGGUGUACUAGCAAGUGUUUAACAAAUGGCUCUCUGGGGCACUGGGGGAAGCCCUAAUUUGUAACAUUCACCAAGUCAAGUUCCAUGGUGUAAAUACUCCCUCCAAGACUAUUUCAAGCUACCAGCAGGAAGAGAUGCACACAAUCAAUGGCUCUUGAGUGCUGGUACCGGCAGGCUCCAGCACACCACUGUGCUCACAUUGCAUCCUGCCUCUCAGAGCCUUCCCAGAUGCCUUGAUGGGAAUUAUGGAAUGUUCUCAGACUUUUGUAGAACAUUUACCAAAUUAGUCACAGCCAUGUGUGUGAACUUUUUCAGUUUAAUUAUUGGAAAAUGGCCUCACUUCCAAAUUCUUGGAGAACACUGUUUUUACCUUCAUGUACCGUCAACUAAUAGAGCUGUAAGGUGGCCAAAGAAACCAAAGAUGGAUUUCCUUUCUGUAUUGCCUAAAGUCCAGAGUUCUGUUAAAAAUUACUGUCAAGAGUGAGGCUUGGGGUCUGUGCUGCACUGAGUAAUACCAUGGGUAGCAAUAGAUAAAUUGGCACAGAAGAAUCUUCUACAGCACCACCGCCAUUCACCCCCUGCCUCACUUUGCUGUCUUACCCAACAUUACAUGACAGAAAAAAGAAAUUGUGUUGCCUAGUAACAGCUCUGAGCAAGGGGAGACCAGUCAAUACAAUUCUGAAUUAAGGCAACAUCCACAAAAAAAUCCAUCUUGAGGAUUUAUACGAAAACCAAAGUGUAGUUAUAGUCUUACAAGCUGGUGGAGAAGUCCCAUUAGCUUUGGGUAUUGGAUUAUUUAGAAUAAUAUAUCUGAGAUAUAGAUUUCUUUUUCUGGGAAGAAUAAUCUACUCUGAGGCCAUGAAAAUCAAUAGGCCACUUUGAAGACUGACUUCAGCUGUUAUUGGUAAUGUUUUGGUUGUGUUUGUGAAUCAACAAUCAAGCAAAAAUAAGGCCAUUUAGUAGCUCACACUAAAGAGCACUACUUGUCAAUUUUGCAACGAAGCCUCUCCAUCCAUUGAAUGAAACAGCAUCUCCCAAGGGCUGCUGUGAGCCUAUGGAGACCCUGAAAGCUGACACCAGCACAAAGAAUUAAGGAUAAGUCUUCCAGGGUGGCCAGUCAUCCCAGCAUAUUGAGACUGAGGAGUUUCCCAGGAUGCUGGACUUUUAAUGCUAAAACUAGGAAACUCCUUGGCAAACUGGGACAGUUGGUCGCCCUGGAUCAGUGGUUCUCAACUGCAGAUGAUUUUGCCCCUCAGGUAGGGUUGCCAGAUAAAACAGAAGAUACUCUGUUAAGUUUGAUUUUCAGAUAGACAAUGAAUAAUUUUUCAGUAUAAGUAUGUCCCAACUACUACAAUGGGACACAUUUAGAGUUAAAAAGAAUUAUUCUUUGCUUGUCUAAAAUUCGAAUUUAACUAGGCUUUUAACAUUUUUUAAAAAAUUUUUUUUGUAAAACUGACAGUCUUACCCCCAGGAGAUAGUUGGUAAUGAUUGGAAGCCUCUUCGGUUUUCACAACCACAACUUCAUCAGGGAUGCUACUAGCAUCUAGUGAGUAGAGGCCAGGCAUGCUGCUAAACUUCCUAUAAGGCACCAAUGCAGACAACAGCUGCCUAAAACAAAGAAUUAUCUGGCCUGAAAUGUCAGUGGUGCAGAGGUUGGGAAAUCCUGCCGUAGACCUAAACAAGCUGGUGCCACGGAGCUCCAUCUUCCUUGAGAAAACACUAAAGGAUGGACGUGGGCUUCCCUGCUUCAUGCACACAGAUGGAAAAAUGUCACAUACAUUCCUGACCUUUAACACUUUCAGUCUGAUGCGUCAAACAGCCAUUGGGAGCUUAAGAAGUGUCUAGCAAAAUGGGACAAUUCCCCUUGCCGGACUCCCCCUUCCACACUUGGAAGGGUGAGGCAGUGUGUGUCAUCAAACAAUAGAGCAGAUAAAAGCUGAAUCAGGGUGGUCUCCAGGACACCCCCAUCUCCCCAGACUUCUAUGGUGACAUUUCUUGCACUCCUCAAGUUUGUUCAUGGCUUUGAAAACACAGUUUCAGAAUGUCUUCAUUGUUUCAUACGGUACUGGCCGCGCCUGGAGUUUUCCUGAAGGAAACUGUAGCAGCAGGAAUUUUGUGCAAUACUAUAAUAAGGGGGCUUUAUCCUUCCAAAAAUACAUCCUUUCUCCUUGUUGCCAGCUCUCCCACAGCCCUGUGAAAAAUGUAGCUCAGAAGUUACUGAGGCGUUUUUCUGUUUUUCCUUUCUCACUUUAGUUCAUAUCAAGCAACAGAAAGCAAUUCUAUUAUUCACACUUAGGCGUGCUAGCUUGAAUGAAUGAACAAAUCAAAUAUCAAUCCUUUUCUCAUUUCCCUAGUGUGUAAGAACUGAAAUGUAGAAAGUGGCAUCUGCUUAAAAGGAAUUGGUGAAUUUGACUUCUCUAGGUACCUUAUCCAAGUGGAAUGAGUGUUUAAUGGGCACAGAGUUUCAGUUGGGAAGAUCGAAACGUUCUGGUAGAUGGAUGUUGGUGAUGGUUGCACAACUAUGUGAUUAUACUUAAUGUCAUGGAACUGUACACUUAAAAAUGGUUAAAAUAGUAGAUUUUAUGUUAUGUAUAUUUAAUCACAGUUUAAAGAAAGGAAUUGGUGAUGCAUGUCUAUGCAUGUAAGUUUUGAUAUAUGCUUGCUGAUUGAUUAUUUAUCUAAGGUCUGUUUACAUAUUUUCCCCCAGUAAACUUGGUACUUGCCUCAUUGUCCUGUAUCCUUAUCCUUAAAUUAAUUGGACAAUGCCUCUUUCUUCUUCUCCCUCUUCUUAACUCCAGCAGUCACAUGAAGAUAGAAAUAUAUUUUGUCUUUGGAAGUUACUCUUUUUUAAUUUUUUAAUUUUUGUGGGUACAUACAUAGUAGGUGUAUAUAUCUAUGGGGUACAUAAAAUGCUUUGAAAUAGGUAUGCAAUGCAUAAUAAUUACAUCAUGGAAAAUGGGGUAUCCAUCCCCUCAAAUAUUUAUGUUUCAUGUUAUAAUCCAAUUAUACUCUGGAGUAUACGCUGAGUACUCCAAAUGUACUCAAUAGUACAAUUAAAUUACUACUGACUAUAAUCACCCUGUUGUACUACAAAAUACUAGGUCUUAUGCAUUAUUUCUAACUAAUGUUUUUGUACUCAUUUACCAUUCCCCCUCCCCUUCACAGUCCCCCAUUACCCUUCUCAGCCU
rnacentral:lncRNA from 1 species